GCAUCAAGGACUAUUUAAGCUGAGUUCAAAGACUUUACUUGAACUGCAUUUGGCAGUGCUUAUGUGAUUUUCUCUGUUGCCUAAAGUUCAACUUGUACUAAAGGUUGUACUAAAGGCAUGGUAGCAGGUGAAGGAACAGGAGCAGUUUGGCAGGGGUGGUGGAGUCCAUUACCUUCCCGGCUCGCUUCCAAGCAGUGGUUUCUGAUGGGAAAACCUAGAGAAGAGCUCAUGGUUAUCAUUAUCCCUAAUAGAGCUUGUCCUGCAGGAGACCUGGAGGCAUUAGGUCAUGGAUCGGGUGCUAUGCAACAUGCUGCGAAAUGUGGAUCACAUCCCGUGUUUUUCCCCAUAGAUUUUAUCUUCUGAAUAGAAAGUGCCUUUUUCCUUCGUCAGUCUUCCUCAGGACAGAGUACUUGACUGGACUCAAAAUGUUAUACGAGAAUUACCUUUUUUGUUAAUAUUUACAUUUAUACAGAAGUCAGACCAAUGAUGUCCAUGACACUGCUUCUGACUGUGCCACAAAUUCUUCCAGUUACUGUGUAUGUGUAAUCAAUAGUUUUACUUUGAUCUUAUUAUGUAUGAUUUGAUAUAUACAAUCCUCAUCAUUGCUUCCAGGUUUAUUAAAGGACAGUGAAUUGCUUUGAACAAUUACCCAAGUCUAAAAUAAUGUGUGAGUAUUCAUGGGCUGUGGUUUUUGUUUAUGUAUAUACAGCUUGCAGUUUUCACACUGGCUGAGUGUAUUUCACUUUUAUGCUACACGUUUUUAAUACAUUUUCAGCCACAGAGGAUUUAAUUCCACUUUACAGCAGUCUUGUCUGAACCCUCAGAUUAAGCUGAAAAGGUGCUGGGAAAUAUUGAAAAAGAGGAAAAAAAUAGAAACGUACAGAUGCUCAUCAUUAGCUAACUGCAGGAUGCUACAAAAAAAAAAAAAAUAAACUGGAAAACAUUUUUUGUAUAAAGUCAUA